rnacentral:lncRNA from 1 species
GGUGGAUGGGGUGGGGGAGCAGCCGGUGUCCUUUGCUGACCAAUUCAGCAGCCGUGCAUAUGGCUAAGACCUUCCUGGCUUCCUUCCUGGCUCCAGCUCCCAGACUUGUCCCCGCACCGCUUCUUCCAAUCCCUUCAUUCACGGCUUCCUGCCUCCAGGUCUAGUUGUUGGCAUAGUUGCCCCAAACUAGGCGGCCAGGGCUGCUACCCCUAGAGGUCUAGGAGGGGAUGGAAGCCCCGGGCUAAGUUCAGAGGAGGUUGUCCAGGCACCAUUGUUGCAACCCCCACCCCCAGGCCACCAUACCUGCUGCCACUGCCGGUGUGCUUAGCUCCUCUGCGGGGUGUUGCCCGACUACUCCCGAAUUAUGUUGUUGUUUUACUGCUUCUGAAAUUCCUAAAUCCAAGAUCCAAUCCCCUGGGAACCCUUAGAAGAAAAAGAAUUCUUCCAGAAUUCCAGCCCUACGUGGCUAAACCUGGGGUGAUGUGCUCGUGGUAGGCAGUGACAUGAUUCAUGGUCUCUAAUGAAUCUCUCCUCCCUGCAUCUAGGACCUGGAGUCAUCUCCUCCCACGUUGAUGUGGAGCCGGGCCACGUGACUCGCACUGGCCUAUGUGCACCAGCACAGGUGACCCAGGCAGAGGCUUGAUAAGCACAGAUACACGGGCAUCUGUCCUUGUCUACCGGAGUGGUCAUAUGGAGCCAGGGAGCCCCACACAUUUGAAUGGGGCCUUCUCAGACCCAAUUGCCUCAUGAGGAACCCCACAGAGGACUGCCUGGCUGAGCCCAGAAUGACAGGAUUUUUCCUCGAUUCACCACUCAGAAGGUGGUGCAAGUGCUUUGGAAGGCAAGGAUCUUCUGGGGUCCCUGAGAUCACCCCCUCCACCGAUGCCUCUGCUCCAGGCAGCUGGAGGCACGAAUGUGUUUCCGAACACGCCCCCCCCAUAACAGGUGGAAGUUUGUAAUCAUUGGGGACCAGCUACUGGAAUUCCUGGAAAAUGGCAGCAAAUACCCAUAAACAAACAUUAGAGAUGAAGUA